rnacentral:rRNA from 1 species
GAACUCCGAUUGCGANGGCAGCUUGCUGGACUGUAACUGACGCUGAGGCACGAAAGCGUGGGGAUCAAACAGGAUUAGAUACCCUGGUAGNCCACGCCGUAAACGAUGAAUGCUAGCUGUUAGCGAUAUACUGUUAGCGGCACAGAGAAAUCGUUAAGCAUUCCACCUGGGGAGUACGCCGGCAACGGUGAAACUCAAAGGAAUUGACGGGGGCCCGCACAAGCGGAGGAACAUGUGGUUUAAUUCGAUGAUACGCGAGGAACCUUACCUGGGCUUAAAUUGCAGUGGAAUAACGUGGAAACAUGUUAGCCUUCGGGCCGCUGUGAAGGUGCUGCAUGGUUGUCGUCAGCUCGUGCCGUGAGGUGUCGGCUUAAGUGCCAUAACGAGCGCAACCCUCAUCGAUAGUUACUAACAGGUUAAGCUGAGGACUCUAUCGAGACUGCCGACGUAAGUCGUGAGGAAGGUGGGGAUGACGUCAAAUCAGCACGGCCCUUACGUCCAGGGCUACACACGUGUUACAAUGGGGGGUACAAAGGGCAGCUACCUGGCGACAGGAUGCUAAUCUCAAAAACCUCUCUCAGUUCGGAUUGGAGUCUGCAACCCGACUCCAUGAAGCUGGAUUCGCUAGUAAUCGCGCAUCAGCCACGGCGCGGUGAAUACGUUCCCGGGCCUUGUACACACCGCCCGUCAAGCCAUGGGAGCCGGGGGGACCUGAAGUAUGCAACCGUAAGGAGCGUCCUAGGGUAAAACUGGUGACUGGGGCU